rnacentral:tRNA from 1 species
GGGCGAGUUAUGUGUUUAACAUAGUUUACUCUGCAAAGGUGAAUUUGAUUUUUUGGUCCUCGUCCU